AACGAACGCUGGCGGCGCGCCUAAUACAUGCAAGUCGAGCGAGAAGACGUAGCAAUACGUUUGUAAAGCGGCGAACGGGUGAGGAAUACAUGGGUAACCUACCCUCGAGUGGGGAAUAACUAGCCGAAAGGUUAGCUAAUACCGCGUACGCUCCUUGGACUUCGGUUCAGGGAGGAAAGCGAUACCGUGGGUAUCGCGCUCUUGGAUGGGCUCAUGUCCUAUCAGCUUGUUGGUGAGGUAACGGCUCACCAAGGCUUCGACGGGUAGCUGGUCUGAGAGGACGAUCAGCCACACUGGCACUGCGACACGGGCCAGACUCCUACGGGAGGCAGCAGUAAGGAAUAUUGCGCAAUGGGCGAAAGCCUGACGCAGCGACGCCGCGUGGGGGAUGAAGGUCUUCGGAUUGUAAACCCCUUUCGGGAGGGAAGAUGGAACGAGCAAUCGUUCGGACGGUACCUCCAGAAGCAGCCACGGCUAACUUCGUGCCAGCCGCCGCGGUAAG
rnacentral:rRNA from 1 species